AAGGGAGACCUAAUUCAGGUAUAAGACGAAAAAAAAGUAGUCCCUACCAAGAAUCAAUCCCAAAAGGUCGGAACGAGGUAUGAGGCUUUCAAACUAGGUUCUGGGUUCAUAAAAGACCUGAAUCAGGAACAAGGGCUAUUAGCUCAGGUGGUUAGAGCGCACCCCUGAUAAGGGUGAGGUCCCUGGUUCGAGUCCAGGGUGGCCCACCUGCACAGGUGGCAAAAACAAGAGAAGCGAGGAAUCAGCACCUUAUCUUAUAUACAUAUAUAAGAGAGAAUGCUGGCUCUGAGUACAGAGUCCAGAGGAACCUUGAAAACUGCAUAGAGCUAGGUGAAAAAGCCAAAAAAGAAGACCGCAA
rnacentral:tRNA from 1 species